ACACUUGACUUGUUCUAUUGCCUUCGAGGUUGACCAAGAGCACUGUUAUUCCUCUCUGCAAAGUGAAGCCAAAGAAAAUGAAUACAGGGAAGAAGAAAAAAAGACGCACCUGUAGUAAUCAGGAUUUGGUUUGAAGGUGGUUGUGUUGAGUAGGCCAUAGUUCCCGCCAAUCAAGCUUUGUCUGCAGUAAGUCUUGGUGUCAUAUUUUGAAGCCAUUCCAAGCUGAUCCAAAUACCUACCGUGUUGAAGCCGAAACAAAUGCCCCUCCUGCUUCACCAACCCAGGCUUUUGCCGAACUUCCUGAGCUUCUAAGUAUUCUCUGAAGAUUUCUGAAGACCGAUUCCUCGCCAUCAAGAUACUUGGGAUCAAGAAUCUUGUCAAUCAAGUGCUCAUCCACACCUACCAAUUAUUAGUAUCAAACUUGCCGUGAAAUUAGAGACACCAGCUGAAAUUUCACUUUUCAGGGUGAUAACAUCAGCAGCAUAUUGAUUUGCAGAAAUUCUUGUUCCAAUUCCAUUCCCACUCAAUUCAUUUCCUAACAAGCAAAGAUGC